AAUUGACACUCGAACAAUAUUCCAAGGACUGUACACAUACAUAACUACACUUAAUCAAAAUGCCCAAAACCCUCAAAAUCAAACACAAAUCGAAUCAAAACCCUAACCCUAACCCUAGAACCGAUCGAUCAUGGCGGCGAGGAAAUCAACCGGAGAUGGAGUUCUCGCUAGGGUUUCAUCAACAAUAUCCGAAUCACCGAUCGUUUACAGAGGCAAAAGAGUCGCAUCUGACGCCGGAUUUGUGGCCAAAAAGCUGUUGAAGAGCACCGGCAAGGCGGCGUGGAUCGCCGGAACGACGUUUUUGAUCCUUGUGGUGCCGUUGAUCAUUGAGAUGGACCGUGAGGCUCAGUAUAACGAGCUCGAGCUUCAACAGGCGAGUUUGCUCGGUACUCCUGCUGUUGCUGCUCCGCAGAAGUGAUUUGUCGAAAGCUAGGGUUUCAGGUAAUUUACCUGAUGGAUCAAAAUGUCAGCAGAAACAAUCAAACAACAAACGUGAGUUUAUUCACCAUUGAAAAGUUCUAGGACCAACUGGUAGAAAGUUUUUUUGUUUAUCUAUUUUGAGAUAUUUUCUUGAACUUAAGACAAUGAGUGUGCUUCAUGAUAAUAUGAUAUGCUUGAGAUUUUCGACAAACAUAAAGUGGGUUAUAUUUUUCUCAACAUGCUUGCAUUUCGAGGUUGUUUUUGUA